GCCCGCCCAAAGGCCGGGGAAAAAAAAAAAAAAAAAAAAGACACCCGCACAACCCCGAUUUAUUCACCGACACCCCACAAAGGGUUCGACGCCUCCUUGACACCCCGACAAAACCCCACAGCUUCGGCUUCGGGCUGCCCACCUCCAGAGCCUACGCCGAAUACCUGGGCGGCUCCCUGUGCCUGCAGUCCCUGCAGGGGGUGGGAACCGACGUCUACCUGAGGCUGCGGCACAUCGACGGCAAGGCCGAGAGCUUCCGCAUCUAACGGGACCCCCGAGGGACCCCCGAGGGACCCCCCCUCAGGUUUUGUCACCUCCUGGCGGCGUCGGAACGGAGGUGGGGACUCUGCGGUGGUCUCCGUUGGAGGUCUGGCCGCGUUUGCGCUUCGUUAAGAGGCGUCGCCUUCGUUAAGGGCGCCGCUCAUUAAAGGCCUUGUGCUGAUGGGGAGAGGGUUUUUUGGGGGGGGGGGGGUCGGGGGGAGGAGGAGGAGGAAGAGGAGGGAGGAAGGCUGAGGGGUGACGGCCGCUCGCAGCCCUGAAUCCGUUCUUCGUCCUCCGUUCUUAUCGUUGUCUUCCUCAUCGUGGCCUUCAUCCCCACCCCCUAUAGGGUUUUGGUGUCGUCCUCCUCAUCCUCACCAUCCUCCUCAUCCUCACCAUCCUCCUCGAGGCCUUCAUCUUCAGUGUCACCUUCCUCAUCCUCCCCGCUGUGCUUUUCUUCGGGACCUUUGCCUCUGGUGUCAUCUUCACCGUCCUCCUUGUGGCCUCCACCUUCAUCCCCUUCUUCUUUAGGGCCUUCAUCCUUAGUGCCAUCUUCCUCACCAUCCUCCUCUUCAGGGUCUCCAUCAUCAUCUUCCUCCUCCUCACCAUCAUCUUCCUCCUUAGGGGCCCCACCUUGCCCUCGCUGCCACCUACUUGGUGUUGCCUUCCUCCUCACCACCCUCCUUGGAUUCUUCCCCUUCCCCCUUGAGACCUCCAUCCUCUUCCUCCUCGGGACCUUCACCUUCAUCCCUAGGCCCUCCAUCCUCUUCCUCCUCACCAUCUUCUUCCUCUCUGGGCUCUUCAUCCUCUUCCUUCCUCAACUCCGCCCCAUUCCUACUCAGUGUCACCUCCACCCUCUUCCUCAGCACCUCCAUCAUCACCUUCAUCUUCCUCCUCGAGGCCACCGCCUUCCUCCCCACCACACUCCUCCUCUUCCUCCUCCCCACCACCCUCCUCCUCUUCCUCGGGUUCUUCACCCUCCUCCUUGGCUUCUUCAUCCUCGU
rnacentral:lncRNA from 1 species